CAAAUACUUGUCUGCCCAUUGUAUUUGAAGAUUUUCUGAAAACAAAUAUGGGAUCUUAUUUUUAUGUUACAGUAGAAUUAAGCCUAUGAUGAACAUAUUGCUUGGACAAUAUGUUAUUUUUGCCUAAUAUGUCGUAAUAUAUUCCUAAUAUAUAUAUAAUAUAUAUUACCUAACUGGGGACUUCUAAGUGUUUUCUUUUAUCUUCAAAAUUGGGAGAGUAUUAUAGCCUACCUCACAGAGUCAGAUGAAGUGCUAUAAAGCAGAUAAAACAUUUAUCUCAGUGUUGGAUACAUGGUAGAGGUUGAAGAAUAUUAACUGUUAUAGUUAAUAUAACUGUAUAAUAACUACAGAAAAUACAGAAAAACUGUAUAAUAGAAAAAUGCUUGGGGGGCCUGGGUGGCUCAGUUGGUUAAGCGUCCGACUUCAGCUCACAAGUUUGAGCCCCACGUCGGGCUCUGUGCUGACAGUUCAGAGCCUGGAGCCUGUUUCAGAUUCUGUGUCUCCCUCUCUCUCUCUCUCCCUAUCCGACUGGCCCUCUGUCUCUCUCUUUCAAAAAUAAAUAAACAUUAAAAAAAAAAAAAAAGAGAGAGAAAUGCUUACUAGUGUUUUUCAGUUGAUUUUUAUUCUCUUAAUAUUUUACAUGGAUUAUUUCCAUUUAAGGAAGAAAAAUAUGGAGCAUGUAGAACUGUGAGAAUCAGACUUUUAAAACAAAAAGAGCUAGUUCUUAUGGAACAUUCUCAGCAUUACUAUUUGGUUAACAUCUGUUUCAAACUGGCUUCUCAUUUCAGGAAUAACAUAAAGGGGGGUGGGGUGCCUGGGUGGCUCAGUCGGUUAAAUGUCCGACUCUUGAUUUUGGCUCAGGUCAUGAUCUCAUGAUUCAUGGGUUUGAGCCCCACAUGGGGCUUUGUGCUGAUAGUUCAAAGCCUGCUUGGAAUUCUCUCUCCCUCUCUCUCUGCCCCUCUCCUGCUUGCACGAGCUCUCCGCCGUCUCCCCUCCCCCAUCUCUCUCUCUCUCUCAAAAUAAAUAAAUAAACAUUAAAAAAAAAAAAAAACGAACAUAAAGUGGCUAAUAUAAUUAUUUCUAGAGGAAAUUCCAUUUGUAGGAAGUCACCAGGUAAAAUUUUUGUUUGAUGAACUUAUUUUGGAAGUCAUCUACUGGGACAGGAUCUCCAAACUUUUUUUGUAAUUGUUUACUCAUAUCAGUAAAAAUAACAUAUAUAUUUGGUUAUACAUGUAUACAUGUGCUCUUAUACAAAUAUAUAACAUACGUUAAGAAAAUAAACAAGUACAGAAACUUAAAAAGCAUGAUAAUGAAAUAUAAGGUGUAUAGAUGUUUUAGUAUUUAAUUUUGGUACCUCCUUUUCCCUUACCCAUACCCCCAACACAUGCACUGGCUCUGAGCACAUCUUUGUUUUGAGAUUUUGCUUUGAAGAGAUAACCACUUCAGCUUCAGAGUCUUGCAGCAUUUUGUUUUAAGCCAGAGAUGUGAAGGGUGGAAGGAGAAAAUCUUCUUUACAUUCUUGAGGUUUUUGUCCAGGUUUCUGAAUUUCUUGCACCUUAAAGAAACAAAAUCUGAAUUUUGCGAGUUUAAGAAGUAUCAUAGAUCAUUCUUUGUGGAGGACUCUUAUCUUGCUGCUAAUGGGUGGCUUUCAAGAGGGCCCUUGACUCUCUUGAAAUUCCAAGCUAUAUUUUGUGUCUCUGGGCAGAUUGUCGUUUUUCUGGGCAAAGGGUUUAGAUCUUUCAUCAGAUUCUGAAAGGAGUUUCCCCCAAGGCUGGGAGCCACUGCUUUGGGUGAUGGGCAUUUGGUUCUUCACUUAGAGCAGAGAGAGAGAAUUUGUCAUAUAGUCCCUUUCUGUAGAAGGGAGAUUAAAAAAAAUUUUUUUUUUAACGUUUAUUUAUUUUAGGGUGAGGGGAAAAGAGACAGACAGAGCAUGAGUGGUAGGGGGGCAGAGAGAGAGGAAAACACAGAAUCCAAAGCAGGCUCCAGGCUCCAGGCUCCGAGCUGUCAGCACGGAGCCCGACACGGGGUUCCAACUCACGGACCGUGAGAUCAUGACCUCAGCUGAAGUCAGACGCUUAACCGACUGAGCCACCCAGGCACUCCUAGAAGGGAGAUCUUUUAACAAGAGGUUUCUUCUGUGUGUCUCUCCUAAUUUUUAAUUCUUUUUACUACCAAACAGAAUUUUUAAAGGUGUUUGAAGAUAGAAGUUAAUUACAUGACUCCAGCCAUUGUGGUGGUUUGGAGCUUUUUGAUCCGUAUCAUUUGAAAAGUUAAGCUGCGUGAAUGAAUACUACCAAUGGUAAACUUGAAUGUGCCUGUCAAAAAGCAUUUAUUCUGGAGUAGCUGUGGACCUGGGAGAAGCCAGGAGGAGAGACUCAGAUUUUCUUUGCUGGUGAAGAAAUAGUUGAGCAACCAAUGACAGAGAAGAGAAGCAGUGUCUAUAGUUGUGCACCAGGUGAUGUAUUACAUGGUGUCACCUUGAAGCUUCCCAAGAAACCAAGAACAAGGAUGUUUGUUGUUAACUGAGGGCUGUGUAACUUGCCUCCCCCUUUAGACAGAGCCAGAGUCGGGACCUCAGGCCUGUCUGGUUCCAAAGCCAGUGUUUAUGGGCACGAACGUGGGUGAGCCCCGGAGCUAACCACCGUCUUGCUCGUGCUGUGCUGGGAUGAUCUCCCCAGUGAGCCCUUUUACUGCCUCUUGCAAAGAACCUUGGAAAUUGUGAGGAGACUGAAGUGGUGAGAGAAGUGGAGAAAAGAAGGGGGCGAGCAGCCAGGCCAGCAGCAACACUGGGGGUGGCGGGUGAUGAUGGACGGAACCGUGGAAGAACAGCCGGCCUCGGAGUUGGCUCCUUCGAAAGGCCCGUCAGUGCUGCCAAGAGGCAGACAGGAAGGGUCACCAACACUGCAUGAUGGCAAGGGCCGGGGUGGAGAAGAUGCCACUCUGGAUCCUGCGGGGUUCGAACGCUGUCAUGAAAAGGUCAUGCCGGUCAUGGAGUGGUUUGGGUUUGGUAAACUGGUGACUGUGUGGCAGCGGUUUUCUUUAUCAUCUGUCUUUACGUCUUUGGGAAGUAGCUUAAGUAGAGGAAAGGGUGUGGGUUCAGGUCUCGGUGAUAAUCCCGGCUUUGUGAACUGAGGUUAGUUAUUUAACAUCUCAGAGCUUUAAUUUCUACUUUGGUAACAUGGGGCUCACACUUGCCAAGGUGGUUGUGAGGAGUGUGAUAAUGCGGGGAGGCUGCCUAAUGUGUGGUUUGUUGUGUGAGAAAUAAUUCCUUCCCUUCUCUUUCUGCCAUCGAUCUUUCUUUGAGUCACUCCAGAGGACCUGGAUCUUGUUUCAGAUCUUGUGAGGGUGGAGAUCUGGCAAAAGUUCAUCCAUUUAUGCAGGGCGUCAUGACAGACUUUCACCUUAUGGUGAUGUUACAUUUUUUGGAUUUAAUUAAUUCAUGGUUGCUGGUGCCUGGAACAUUGUUCAAACAUUAAAACACAUGGAGAAAAUGGGGACUUGGUAGCAUUUCAGGAGAAGUACCAUCUUUGAAUAAGGUAGAUAUAGGCUUCGGAUUAGCCUUUUACUGAAGCGCCUUCAGAAGACGAUGUCUGGAAAGGGAAGGAGAUCACUCCUUUGCUGUACGUUGUAAGGAAUUCAGAGUGGGUUCGGGCUCCUGAGGAGCUGUCUUAUAUUAGCAGGUGGGAAAUCACAGCAGAAAACACUUUUCUUUUCAAAUGAAUGAGUAUUUUGAAAUCAAGGAUGUUUUGUAGCAGAAAGGAAGUUCCUUUUGAGAGUCAGAGGGCCUACUCAAGCUUUGUCUCAUCAAGUUAAUUUUUCAGAGUGAUAGUGAUGCAUCCAAAGGUCUGGUGUUUUUCCCUAAUUUGUGAGCAAAAGUCAAACUAACUUAAAAUAAGAUGUAUACAGAGGACUUUUUUUGUUUUGUUUUGUUUUGUUUUAAAGGUAGGCUCCCUGCCCAAUGUGGGGCUCAAACUCACGACCCUGAGAUCAUGAGUCACAUGCUCUACUGACUGAGCCAGCCAGGUGCCCCUAUACAAAGGAUUUUUGAAAAUUAAAAGGUUUUAGUACUCUGUUCUGCCCUGUCUUCAUGCAUCCUUCUACCUUUGCUUCUUUAACUCCGUCUACAGCUGCUGUAACUAGUAUUCUUGAUGGUAACCAGCCAUCUAGAAAUAAUAAUCAUUUCACUUUAAGAAAACGUAAAGACAGCAUUUUAAUCAAAAACAGUUGAGUUGAAGUUCUGAAACUCGGUAGUUGUGAAAUUUGUCUGGCAUGUGGCUGGAUCUCUAGGGGGAGAGCAUUGCAAGGUUUCAGGUAGGAGUAACUUCGAUGGAACCUUUGGCUGCUGAGGAGACUGUUUUACCACCUAGAUUUUUUACCACCUAGGUAGGUUUUGGAUAGAACUCUAUUUUUGUUGUAUUUAGAUUUACAUUGUCACAUCAUAAAAGGCAUUUCAACUCAUGGUGGAAUUUAUUUAGGCUUUUCUGGUUUAGUAGGAUGUUCUAGAAAUGGUAUAUACUUAAGACGCCAUUGGGCCUAGGAGUGGUAAGACUCUGUACUCACACCCCUGAGUUACGAUGAGGCUUACAGGAAAUGAAUUGUGUGCAAAUGCUUUUCAAAGUGCGUGGGAAGCAAACGCACAGCUCUGAAAGGAGUCUAUAUACAACCUGGCUAAGUAGCCUCCUCCAAGGGCCUUAUAUUCUCGUUUUUGUAAUUGGUCUGUGGGUUGUGUGGUUCAAUUCAUUCACUCAUCAGAUUUCUACGAGCGGCAUGAUGCACCAGGCACUGCCCUGGCAACGCAGUGGUGAGUGAAAGAGGAAGGUUGAUGCGGUUCUUCUCAAAAGGCCGUUGUAGCUGGAGGUCAGAGAUUGAUGGGGCUACUUAGGUUGUUGGAACCAAAACCAAAUCAUUCUGGUUGGGUUAAAGUUUGUCCUUGAUCCUCAGAGCAUUUUUUCAUAUCUGUAAAUAUUUGAUCACUGAAUAUAUCAAUCACCCAUAAAUUCCCUACUCAGUCAUGAGGAAUAAUAUUUUCCCUCAUGUUUAUAUAUUCUUGUGUUAGGUGUAAUUUUUUUUUUUUUUGUCUAUAUGAUACCUGACAGUAUUAUGAUUACACUGAGAUGGUCUUACUGUUGGAGUUGGAAUUUUAAAAAGUUGUCUUGUUAUGGUAACAUUGUUUUAUAUAAUACUGAGGCAAAACAACAUAAUCAUUGCUUGCUUGAAAAAGAAAAUAUUACCAAUUUACUUUUAGGCUAUAAACAUGAAAUUGUACAAACUGUAAAAAGCAUACCAAGUCCCUUUAAAAGUGAGUAAGAUCCAUCUGUGGGCCUAGCUCUAUGCUCUCUAGACGGCACUGUAUAAUUAAAGUACACGAUCUUAAGUCUUCCUGGGUUUUAAUUCACUGUUUUAUGAACUGCUGCUUAGGAGAGUGGGGGACAUAAUACAAUAGAUUUAAUUCACUAAGAGAAUAAAAGUUGAGAAGAUUAGAGCUAGAAUUAGUGGCAGCACCAAUUGAUGUUUAUUAACUGAGAAUACAAGCAACAGUAAAACCACAGUUAGGCAAAACAGCUAACACUGGUGGUGUUAUGGUUACUGUGAACACUGGAAAAAUAAAUAAUUGCAGGUAUUUUAACUUUGGCAAAUCGAAUGAAGUUAAAAAUUGAAUCCCCCCUCCUUGUCACUGGCUAAUUUUAAAAUUUCCCGAGCUAUUAUGAUUUAAAUUAUUGAGCCUUAUCUGAGCCGCAUUCUGUGGGCGGUAAAAAUUGAGUGGAGUGUGCGCUUUUGGAACCAGUGCUCGAAGUAGAGCUGGAUUUGUGAUGGUUUACAUAAGGAGGAAAGCAUCAUCUGGGAUUAUCUCAGACGCUGACCUGUGGGAGAGUCCAACAAAAUAAAAAGACUGUAUAUAGAGAGAGUUUGGAGUUCGUGAUGGUCAGUACUUAAAUGGCCACCCUUGUACCUUAAUGGUUACUGAAUUUCAGAAUGAUUUCAGAAUCAUUUCAUGGUCGGUCAAACAAUGUGCAUUCCUACGAGUGCAUAUCUGUAUUUAAUAUUGACAUAAUCUGGGUGAAAUCAUAUUUCUUUACAGUUUUACUUAAUGGAGUAUUAUUUUUCUCUUCUAUGUAGGGAGGACACUACACCUACAUUUCUUGGCUAGAAAGACAUUCUCCGACCCCUUUUUUGAGCCAGGCUGUUUGUAAUAUUGUACCGUUUAUUAAGAGAAUAAUUUCUUCACAUUAGGGUAUCAUAGUUCAUGACCAAUAUUCUUUUGUCUCCAUAAAUGCAAGGAUAAUUGAGUAGUUAUUUGCUUCUUUCUUGGUGAGAUGGUCAUGAAGUUUUGCUUGACUCAUUUGCAGAUGAGAGAUCAAGAACCUCUCCAUAGAGUGCGCCCCAUGACUGCAUGAUUUAAUGUAGCUAAUGGUUAGAGUGGGACCUAGAUCAGAGUAAGUGUUAUAUACAUGUUAACUACCUUUGUCAUUGUUGUUGCUGUUAUUGUUACGAAUAAAUGCUACCUAAUCUGUAUCUCAUGACUUGGAUCCUGUAAAGAUGAUCUGUUUUUGUGUACCGUGUUUAGGAAAAUGGGUGUUUGAGUUUUAAAAUCCAUUAAAUCUAUUCAUAAACUAAAUUGUUUACGUAAAAGAAUAUAUCACUAUCUAUUACAGUUGCCAAUGAGCUUUAAAAAGCAUUUAGAAAGCGUUGCUGAGUGAAAGUAACAUUUGGAAGCUGUCAGAGUCAGUAUGUUUCAGAACCCAAGGACUAGUCUAGGCAAGUGUGAGUUGUGUUGCUUUAUAACGGAUGUUAGAGUGUUGUGUUCACCUGUCUCCCCCAGCUGGAGUGUGUGGUGCUAUGGGAGAUGGGGGAGUUGGAUGUGUGCGAUGACUCUGAACGUUGUCACUGUGAGACAUCGGGAAGGACUAUUGGUGGCCACUAAAUGUAGUUAAGAGGUUGCUACCUGGACAGAUAGGACGUGGCCAUUAACCUUACAUCUUUGAUUAAGUGGCAGCGUUGAAAAAUCUUUUAAAAAGAAAAACAAUUUGCAGGAAUUUCUAGGAGUCUGCAGAAGUAUCUUUGGUGCAGGUGGCUUACAAUAUGAAUUUCAUGUGUGUUAGAAAUUUUUUCUUCAUCUGUGAGUUUUUUACCUAAAGCUAUUUUUAUCAACUCCAAUUAUGGAUUUGUUGUGCGCCUGUAAUUUUGAUUGGCAGUGAAGCCUGCAUUUAAUCUUUAUUCGGACCUAGAAAGGUUUUUUGUUUCCUUUUUGUCUCUCAUGGGAAGUUAGUCUGAACCACUCAUUUCUCAUACUUACCUCAAGAUAAUGAGUGUCGUCGAUCUGUCUUCAGUUUCCAUCGAGACAAGAAAAUGUAUUCAACCCUAGCGCAUUUUUUCUUUCAUGAUGAGUUUAAAUAAAAUAAGUGACUGAGUGAAUAUGUUUACAAAAGCAACAUGUACACGUAUUUGAAGUAGGUACGUAAUGAGGUAAACCAAGGUCCCAAGAAAUAACUGGCAGAUCAGAGUUCAGUAAGUACAGUUGAAUAGGAAUGUCAGUCAGAAUUCUCUCUUCCAAGUUAUCUUCUUGAGCUGGUAGAUGAUGAUGUUUCUGUUGUACCUUGAGUUCUUACAUUUUAUCCUAGAGAUUUUAAAUAAAGACUCAAAAGGCUGAACAGUGAAAGCUUCAGUCAAGGCAGGGCACAUUAGGUGUCUAUACUGUUUGACGUUAGCUGUACUGAAGCAAGAGAUAGUCCCUUAUGGUUAUUAUUUUUUUCCCCUUCCCAUCAUUUAGCGUUUUCUUUAAAAUGAAUUUUUGACAUUUUUUUCUUCUCUCUGUGUAGUAGCUCCUCUAAACUACAGAUAGUAAUUAACUCUCUCUAUAUGUUUAAAAAUUUUUUUUAAAUGUUAAUUUAUUUUUGAGAGAGAGAGAGAGCAUGAGCAGGGGAGGGCGGAGAGAGAGGGAGACACAGAAUCCGAACCAGGCUCCAGGCUCCAGGCUCCGAGCUGUCAGCACAGAGCCCGACCCAGGGCUCGAACUCACGAGUUGUGAGGUCAUGACCUGAGCCAAAGUCGGAUGCUUAACUGACUGUUUUUUUUCGUAUACCUGCACACCUAUGGUUAAGUUUAAUUCAUAAAUUGGAUACAGUAACAGAUUAACAGCAAUAACAUUUAUGACAACAUACCAUAACGAAAGUUAUGUGAUUGUGGUCUGUCUCUCAAAAUAUCUUUGUACCGUACCUCCCCCCCCCCCCUUCUUGUGAUGAUGUGAGAUGCUAAAGUGCCUACAUAAUUAGAUCAAGUGAGGUGAAUGACGUAGGCUUGUGAUGUAGAGUUAGGCUGCCGUUGACCUCCUGACGAUACGUCAGAGGGAGGAUCAUCUUCUUCUGGACCACAGUUAACUGUGGGUAACUGUGGAAGGGGAAACUGGGUAAGUGGGGACUGCCAUACAGGUGGGUUUGCUUAGGGCCAUUUAGAGCUGUGGCCAGGUCAGAAAUACAGAGGUAGCAUGGGAAGCUCGGGAGGCUGACGAUUUAGACUCAAAGAAGUUGCCUGUCCAGCAAGGUAGAGUUAUGGAGAGAGGAUAGGUUUGUCAGCGAGCUAGCCAGCCUUAGAAUUCCAGCCAGUUUUCCUUGCAAGCUGGGUGACUUUGGAGAAAUGAUCUUCUUAGAACCUCAGUUUGCUUAUCUGUAAAGUGAUGAUAAUAUCUUCUGCCUUGCAGGAUUAGUAUGAGAGGCAAUGUAUGUGAAAUGCCUAGACCAGUACUGACAUGGCAGAUACUUGGUAAUUGAUAGUUAUCAUAAUAUGUCUGUCCUUGAGGUCAGAGACCAUGUCCAUUCAUGAUUGUAUUCCCAUGGGGCAGGAUUGUGUCCCCCCCCUCACAUCUUUAUGGCUCAGAGGGUACCUGCUGAAUGAAACCAUCCUUUCAGGUAGGAAGGGAAUUCUUCAUGUAUAUGAGGCACUGCUGACUCAUAAUAUCACUUCCUAACUCAAUCCUUUCUUUUCUGAUUUAUGUUGUCUUAAAUAUUCUUUUAAAGAAUAUAUUUUUUUAAAUGAAGAGAGUUUUGUAAAGAUUUUUUUUUUUUAAUUUUUAAUUUUAGAGAGAGAGAGAGAGAGUGUGUGAGUGGGGGAGAGGGGCAGAGGAAGAGAGAGAAUCUUAGGCUGUACACUCAGCGUGGAGCCCGACACAGGGCUCGAUCCCACGAUCCUGGGAUCAUGACCUCAGCUGAAAUCGAGUCGAAUGCUGAAAAGACUGAGCCAGCCAGGUCCCCGAAAGAGAGUUUUUGUGUGAUAAACCGAACAUAGCUUUAAAGACAAAGGUUUAUGAUUAUGGUCUGCAUUGCCUAGCUGAAAAGGUGCUGCUUUGGACAGAAAACAGCCUCUGAAAGGCCCGUGAUUAUCAAAGGUUGCCAAGUGCUUUGAAAGGCUCUGGGCAAAAGUUUUCAUUUCCGGUUUUAUCCUCAGUCUCUUCUGCCGUGAUGGAGAGCUGGCAGAGUCUGGAGCGAAGGAGACAUGGAAUGAGUGUUUACUGAGUGAAUGAAUUAAUAUGGUGAUUAUUCAGACCUCAAAAUUCAGUGGGGUCUUUGUCGGGUAGUAUUUAUUUGAUCAGCUUUGGAGAGCAGAAAUAGUAUACAAACGCUAAGUGGAUUUUAGUGAGUCUUGACAAUAAGAGCAGCUGGGUUUGCUGUCACAUCUCAGGUUUAGACCAGAGACUUACUAGUUCACAAGAAUCGCAGCUGGCACUGACCUGGCACUUUGCUGCUCUCUUCGAGGUACAUCAUAGAAAACUUUUCACUGGGCAGGCACCCCGGAUCCGAAAAUCAGCAUUAACUUUGUGUAAAUCUCCUCUGGGGGGAUUCGCGGGGGAUGUGUAAGUAGGAAGAGUAAGCUGCCGGAGAGAGUGAGAUAGUCUAGUCCUUUCUCUUGCUCUGGCCCCCCUUGCCUCAUGGGGAUUUAUGUCAGCUCGGAGGCAAGUGGUUUUGGCUCAGCACAAUUAAUCAAAGAUGAGUGCUAAAAAAGUUACCACUUUGGUCCUCUGGGUAGUUUCUCGUUCUUCUUAGAUGGGCUUUUCACCCAGUCUGUCUUUACUUUUUUGUUUGAUGUGUAUUCAGGAGAUUUAAAAAGCUUAUUUUAAAUUUGGCCUUCAGCAAACGUAAUUAAAAAGGAAAAGUUUCUGUUUGCUGUUGCAGGAAGCCUGCUUCCCUUCCCCCUCACCCCUACAAUUGGUACAUUUCUUAAUACUCAGGAAGAAGUGAAUUUUAGGUUAGCCGUGUUUCUAUCCCUUCAUUACUGAGUAUAAUGAAGAGGUGCAAGGAUUUGAUGUGGUUUGCCAAAUUUUUAGGGAACACAAAAAGCACACGCUUAGUGGUUCAUAUUUUUGAAAAUCUUUGUACAGUAUUUGGGAAGAUUUUCUUUUACUAGAAACCUCAUUUUCUGGGCUCUUCAUUUUGCUAUGCAUAAUUCGAGAAGACUCUAUCUAUCUAUCUUUGUCCUUGGUAUUUGAAGGAUAUGCAGUAUAUAUUCUGAAUAGACCGUCAUGACCCUGGGAGGCCUUUCUUUGGUUAAGUGUAUCUUCAGAAACAGAGGUAAUCAAGAUCUGUCUCCAGGAAUUUUCUUUCCUUUCGAAGCCUCAUUUUCACAUGUCAAAUAUAAUAAAGGCCUAUAAACUCUGGCGAGUGCUUUCAUUUAACCAUCCAAACAGUUUCUGUUUCAGUUCCAAAAAAGGUAAUUUCUCCUCCUCCGAUUAAAUACUUACGUUUCUUUCUUUCUUUCUUUCUUUCUUUCUUUCUUUCUUUCUUUCUUUCUUUCUUUCAGGCAGAAUGGAGUCAUUCAUUGCUCUUGAGUUCUCUUUGGUGUUAAUAGAUGGGGUGUUUCAGAAAUCAAUCCAUUUAGCAUAUAUAAUAAAUACCAGUGUUAGAUUUUUAUGGAGUUUGGAAAGCUCUUAUAGAAACACAUAUAGGUAGGAGUCUACUUGAUUUAUUGGGGUGGCUUGAAAGAAUUAUAAAUGUUUUGGUAUUAAAAGUUGCCGUGUCAGACAUAAGACUUUUAAAAGACUCAUAAAGAGAUGCGAAGAACCUGUUAAUGGUGGAUAUCUUUGGGCAAUAAAAAUAGGUUUCACUUUCUACCUUGACAUUAAAAAAACUAAUUACAAAACAGAAGGGUAGUCAUGUGUCUGUUUUCCAAACUAAUGAAAGUAAGCAAACUACUGGGAAUAAAAUGAGCCAUUGACCAUUGGUGAUCAUUAGAUUAAGCCUUUAUGGAAUCAGUUGGAACAUGAGGAAAUAUAUACAGGAUUCUUUUCAUACAGCAUAAAUGCUCAAAGUAACUAAUAAAGUAUUAGUUGACGUAUAUAUGUUUGUCCUAUCUUUCCAUCUUCCGUUGACCCAUCAUUGUUCUACCCAUUUGUGAUAGUCAAGGAAAAGAAAUUUAGCUUGUCAUCUCUUUAGUAUAAUUGGUUUCUUUUCGAUAAGGAAAGAGCUUUAAUUGCUCAUCUAUUCAGAUAAGCUUGAAAAAGCAUUAUUUUUGAUGUUCAGCAGGAGGGUAAAGUACUUAAUUUUCAGAAAUGGUGUAUGGGGUACUGAAAAGGUAAAUUCUGUUGGUGUAAAGUCUUUUAUUUUCACUGUUUUCUGAGAUACAGUACUUAUCUUGGUGAUUUUAUUGUGCAAAGAACUCCGCUUCUUGGCUGUCAUACACCACACUUUAAUGAGCUAGAGCUACACAAUAAUUUGUGACUUGCGCUAUUUCCUUUUCUAAUCAACUCAUCGACUCAUCAAUAUCAUGCCCAUUCUGCACCAGUUUACUCUAGAAUUGAUAAAAGUUUUUUUUUUCUUUUUUUUUUGUAUUGCCGUAAGAGAACCAAGAGAGCUUAGUGGCUUGCAUUCCGUUUGGGGGAUAAAAAAAUAUUGAAUUGGCUUUUGCUGCUUAAACCACUCCAAAACUCGGUGGCUUAAAACAACAGACAGCCAUUUAUUUAGCUCCGCAUCCUGUGGUUUGGCAGUUUGGACCGGGUUCAGCUGUGUGAGGGUCCUCAUCUCUGCUGGACUCACUCGUGCACCUGCAGUCAGCUGGCGGCUGAUGGUCUCAUUCACAUUUCUGAUCAUUGGCUGACCGUUGGUUGGUUGUGGGUACCAGGGUGUCUGGGCCGUGAGAGUCUCCUCAUCCAGCCCGGUAGCCUGCACCUUUUUACGUGGUGGGUUGUGGGGUUCUCUAGAGCAGUAAGAGAGGGCAAGCACAAAUACUUUUCAGGUCUCUCCUUGCAUUGUGUUUGCAGUUAUCCCAUCGGCCAAAGCAAGUUACAAGCCGGUUGAAAUUCUAAGAGUGCAGAAAGACUCCAUCUCUUUGUGGGUGGAGCUCCAAAAUUACACUGCCAUGGCAUGAAUACAAGGAGGGGAAGAAUUUGUGGCCAGUUCUGCAACCUGCCAUGGAUAUUCUGAGGACUUCAGAUCUUGGUUCAGUGGAUAUUGUCUCUGUUUUGAAAUACAUCUAACUACUCACUUUCUCUUGUGCUGCCUUCUGAGUCCAGACCACUCAGUGUGUGCCUCCUUACAGGUUCCCUGCUUCCCACCCUUGCCCCCUGUGCUCCCCACGGCAGCCAGAGCAAAGUUUUCAAAUUAGAAGUCAGAGCAUGUUCAAAACCUCCCAUUGGCUUCCCAUUUCAUUCAGAAUAAAAUUUAAAUUCCCUACUGAGGCUGCAAGACUACCUGACAUGGCCCUUUCUUUGACCUCAUCUCCCCCGACUCGACUCGUCUCUCAUCCUGUCCCAGCUGCUCUUCCCUCCUUGCUGUUAGACACACCAAACCUGCUCCUGCCUCAGGGCUUUGCAUUGGCUGUUUUCUCAGCCAGAAGUUCAGCGGCUCCCUCCUUUCCUUCCUUUGGGUCUCUCUUUAUAAAUCUCUUUCUCAGAGAGGCCUUGGUUGAUAUCCCUCCAUAAAAUAACAUUCUUUCCUACCAAUUUCUCGCUUGCCUUGUUGUACUCCAUGGCACGUAUCACCACCUGACAUUUGUUUAUUUUCUAUCUCUUCCAUGAGGGGUGGUGACUUUGAGUGUUAUCCCCAGUGCCUCCAACGGGGCCUGGCGCAGAGUUUAUGUUCCCCAAGCCUCGGUGGAAUGACUGUAAAGUGCAGUUUAUCACCUAGUCUUAGUGGUGGCUCUUCUCUAGAGCUGGUGAGGUCUGUGUUCCAUCUGUCUUGGGCUAGAGGCAACCUGUUUUCCCCUUGCCCGAUGCUCAGCUGGAUGCUUAAUGAGGUGUUCAUCUACUCCUCUUUAAAAAUUUUCAGCUAUUUUAAUUCGGUGAUUUUGGGAUCAUUUUCCUUUAUAAAUAGAUUUAGAAGUAUAGUCAUUCUACUAUAUGCUGAUGGUUUGUGUAAAUGCACAGCUAUACAUAUGUAUGUUUUUUUGCCCCAGAGUGGCACACAACAAACCCUCAGGCUAGCCCUGGAGGCUCAGGUAGUUGUGGUCUUAACACCGUCUUCACGUACUCUUGAAAUUCCUCCGUCCCCCAAGCCUCUUUUACUCAGACCUAUGUACCAAAUUGCUGAGGCCCCACUGGGCCUCUGACUUCCUCUGAGCAGCUCUGAAAGGUGCUAUUCUUCAAGUGUAAUUUGUGUCUCGGAUGGCUUUCCUAUAGCUGCUUCUCAGGCUUUGAAUCUGAGUUCUGCUAGUCCACGGGAGCUGACCAUUGCGUGUAUAUGUUCGUAACGGAUAGUCAAACCUCUAAUUUGGAAAAAUGAGAUGGGACAGAAGUGAGUAGGAGGAAGGGCAGUCUAGCUUAGUAAAACCCCUGAAUCACAGAAUAUUUAAAAAUAAAGACAGUUCUAUGAUUUUUAAAUUACAGUGCACAUGAUAGACUAAUACAUAACAGGGACAUAAUGAGCCAUGUAAGCAGCAGCAAUGGAAAUAUUUACAAUUCACAAUAGGCCUACUGAAUAAGCUAAGAGAUUUAAGCAGCAAAGUCUGGGUAAGGGUUAUUUGACUCAGAAUUUGAGGGCUAAUCCACAGAAUGUGAGGAGUCAGUAACUUCUUGAAUGCUUCGAUUGGAAAGUGUUGUCGAUUUUUAUAUUGCAUUUUCCCAAUUGGUAAGGACCUAAAAAUGUGCAGGUGCGGACUGACUCGUGCUUGCCUAGAAUCACGUUCUUCUAAGUUUAGAGUGGAUAUAUGGAAGAGGAGCUGAGACCUGCUUUGGCUUUUACCCUCUGGCUGUUGAGGUUAGCAUUUCAGAAACAUCUUCACCCAUCCUAGAAAGUGCAUGAGUAUGUGUUCAUUUUUGUUGUCCCGAUGCUGGUUGAGUUAGAAAGCUGGGAGACAAAGCGAUGGGGUUUCAAAUAAUUUAGUGGAAAGAGAAUGCUGAUAAGUAACAACAGGGAUUGUGGGACCAUUCUGGAUUCUGGCCAUCAUGACAGGAAGGGCCGGGGUUAAGAACAUGCACUUUGGAGGCAGGCAGGCUAGGGUUUUGGUCUAGUUUUUGCCAUUUACUAUUUGAAUGGUCUUAAAUAAGUUAUUUAACCUCUCUACAUCUCAGCUUCCUUUGUGAUAAAAAAGGAGGUCCCGGGGGCCCCUGGCUGGUCAGUCGGUGGAGCAUGCGACUCUUGAUCUCUGGGUUGUGAGUUCAAGCCCCACUCUGGGCGUGGAGUCUACUUAAUUAAAAAAAAGGAGGGGGUGCUGACAGAGCUUGUCUAUUAGAUUUGUUGUAAGAAAUAAAGGUUAUGUAUGUCAGAGGCUUAAUACUAGAAAAGGCAUACAGUAAAUGCUCAGGAAAUGUUUGCUGGAGAAGGCAUACUUUCUCAAGAAUCUAGAAAAAUGCUGGUACCAGAAGGGCUUAAAUUGGCACCAGGGCAUAGUCUUGUGUGGUGUUUUGGCCCCUAUGAAAAUACUGAAUACAUGCAGUCUGUGAGAGGGACAGGAUGGGGGUGACUGGCAGAGGCCAUAGCAUUCCUAAGGACUAUAGCUUGGCGGGGUGUGGGGAGGGUGGAGCUAGUGAGUGGGGUGGUUUGGUGAGGAAUGGGCAGGGCCUUUCACGUGUGCACAGCAGCUCCAAAGAGAGGAGCGUGAAGUGUGUGAGGAGGGAAAAGCAUAUAUACCUGGUAGUGGUGGCCAGAGAGCCACGGGAGCAGGAAGAGGACACUGGUGUAUACAGGAGAGUGCUGGGGACAGGGGUGCCUGGUGAGUGGCGUGAGGGCUUGCAGGCUUCAAUUUGGCAAUUACAUUUGUUUCUAAGGCAAUUAGGAGCCACUCAAGCUAAGCCUCUGCAGAGAGAAAGGAUCUCACCAAGGCUCUGGAAGAAUAGGGUUCUUCCUGUUGGGUGUCUGACAGUUUCCUAAGAUGAUGCUCAAAUUUAUCCACUCAGGUAUCCUUAGGAAUAAGAGAAUUGCCAAAAUCCUGCAAUUUCUUUGAAGUCUCGUAUUUCUGCUUUAAAAAUUCAGAGAUUUUUGCAUUUCAUAAUGUAUUAGCUUCAUUCUAAAAGUUGGUGUUUUCAGUAAACGUAAUGGCUCUGUGUUUAUCCCGUGGCUUCUGGAAGGUACUCACACUGCUGUCCUCCCGAUUCAUCCAGGAGCAAGAUAAUUAGCAGGUCGGGUAUUUAGACUGCCGGGGCUGAAGGGCUUUAGCAGGUGCUUCCUACUCACAGCCGACAGACGGGCAGAAGGUGCCCCUUGUUACCCUUUGCCCCGUCCUUGUGGGCCCUAAAUCCUUUCUUUCUGCAAGGCAUCUUGGGAGUUUUUGAAGGCCCCAUUAACAACAGUCGUUUAGCGCUCACUGCUUCCUCAUCUUAUUUUUUCUCUUCCCCUGGCCUAAAAUACCUAACUUCUUUCUUACUGUUUUUUGUUUAAACAGUUUCAUUGAGAUAUCAUUUACACACCAUACCAUUCUCCCAUUUAAAGUGUUCAGUAUAUUUGCAGGGUUGUGCAACCAUUACUGCUGUCUACUUUUAGAACAUUUUUGUUCCUCCUAAAAGAAACUCUACUCGUUACUGGUUACUUCUCCUUCUCCUACCUCCACCCCUGUCACUCCUAGCCCUAGGUGACCAUAAUGUACUUCCUGUGCACAGAUUUGCCUAUUCUGGACAUUUCAUAUAGGUGGAAUCAUAUACUGUGUGGCCCUUUGUGACUGAUUUCUUUCACUUGGAAUAAUACUUUCCGGGUUCACCAAUGGCGUAGCAUGUAUCAUUCCUUUAAAUUGUUGAACAAACAGUAAUUGUGUUGUACCACAUUUUGUGUAUCCAUUCAUCAGCUGGUGAACAUUCAGGUUGUUUCCACUUUUUGGCUAUUAUGAAUAAUGCUACUUUGCUUUUGUGUGGAUGUGUUCUCACUUCUUUUGGGUAAUACUUCAGGAGUGGAAUUGCUGGGUCAUAUGGUAACUCUAUGUUUAACUUUUUGAGGAACUGCCAAGCUGUUUUUUUCCAAAGUAGCUACACCACUUUGCAUUCCCACUUGCAAUCUAAGGGAUCCAAUUUCUCUACAUCCCUGCCAACACUUGUUAUUUUUUGUCUUUUUGAUUCUAGCCAUUCAAUCGGGUAUGAUUUGCAUUUCCCUGGUGGCUCAUGAUGCUGAGCAUCUUUUCAUGUUUUCAUUGGCCAUUUGUGUAUCUUUGGAGAAAAGUCUGUUCAAAUGAUUUGCCCAUUUUUGGUUUGUUUUUUUGUUAUCAAAUUGUAAGAAUUCUUGAGUGCAAGUCCCUUAUCAGAUAUAUGAUUUAUAAAUAUAUAAAUUUAUAUAUAUAUUAAAAAAAUUUUUUUUACUGUUUUAUUUUUUUUGUUGAGAGAGAGAGAGAGAGACCAAGCAUGAGCGGGGGAGCAGCAGAGAAGGAGGGAGACACAGAAUCCCAAGCAGGCUCCAGGCUCUGAGCUGUCAGCACAGAGCCUGACGUGGGCCCCAAACCCAUAACAAUGAGAUCAUGACCUAAGUGGAAGUUGGACACUUAACCGACUGAGCCACCCAGGCACCCCUAUGUAAAUUUAUAUUUACAUAAGUAUAUAUAAAUCUGCCAUUCAGCAGUUUGUCUUUUCACUUUCUCGAUGGUGUGCUUAGAAGCAGAAAUGUUUUUGGUCUUGAUGAACUCCCAUUUAUUUAUUUUUUUCUUUUAUUGCUUGUGCCAUUAUUACUGCUUUUUAAUCCCUAGCUAUUCUGCAGAAUAUUGGGCUAGGAACCAGAGCACCUGGGCUUUAGUUCUGCCACUAAUAAGCUGGUUGACAUUGGUCAAGUAACUGCUUGCCCUGCCUACACCAUUUUUUCCCCCACAAAAGUGAUUGUUUCCUAAUAAAUCCAAGUUGAUCAUAUCACUUCCUUCUUCCUAAAUGCUUAUUGGUUUCCUGUUGUCCAUAACUGAUAAAAUCUGAACAGUUAUGUUUGGCAUUUAAAGCUCUCCCACAAGCUGGCUUGCUCUUUUUUUUAGCAUAUGCUCUCUGCACUCUACUCCAGACAUGCUCACAAUUUCACACACAUAGAAAUAUCUCAUACCCCGUUCUUAGUUCACAACUCUACAUGUGCUUUUUUUCUUGGUGAAGAAUGCCUUCCCUGCCCCCUACUCUGCUUUAUGUCAUAAGCUCUCCAUUUAGUCUUUGAGAAUCCAGGGCAAAUGUUCAUUGUUGUGUCCAUGCGGUGCCUGGCAGAUAGUAUAUGCUUAGCAAAUCUUUGUUAGGUGAACGCACAGUUGAAAGAAACACUGCCUUUUCUCGAUAGCCUUGCUUGGCUUUUUAUACAAAGUUGUCAGUUCCUCUCUUGGGUUCCUACAGUGUAUACUUUCUCAUACCUGUUAUACUCCUGCUCUCUUUUGUAGUUUGUUUUACUGUCUUUAUCCCCUGCCCAGUGAUUCCUUGGGAGGCAGGUGCUAUGUCCAUUAUGUUCCAGGCCCGAGCUUCUGGCAAGUGUAGUAGGGCGGUAAGUAUAACUGUUGGCCUGUGAAUGGAUGAGUUUCUUUGGGGAGUUCUGGAAAGUGAAAGAGACGACGCAUCUAGUCUAGAUUAUUGGUUUUCAGCUUUCCUGAACCUGUUUAGAUAAGAUUGUAGAGUAUAUGCAGACGGACGUGAGGAGUUAAAUCCUCAGAAAAAGAGAUUUUCUAGGUGCAGUCCAAACUCUGACAGAGUGGAGAUAGGCUGGCUCCAUGACCUCUGCUUCCCUUGCCUGAUGUUUUGAGUGUGGGGGGAUGGUGUGGGGAGAGCUGAUGAACGGUGAAGGAUUGAGUGUGUGAGCAGGUUGUUCUUGCUUUUUCAUAAUACCCGCUGUCCAUGUGGAUUUCCUCAGUUUUAAAGUAGUUACUACCCUGUUUAAUUCUCUUCUUAACCUUUGAGGUGCAAAGCUGCUUUUGGCCUCUUUGGAAUUGUGCUUGGGAGUUACCAGAUUACAUGAUUCCACUAAUGCUUAAUGCUGUAAGACUUCUUGCAGCUCUAAGAUUUCAUGGUUCAAGACGUUGUCUUCCCCCUGAAAUAUUUCUUGGUGACUUUAGUCCUCAGUGAUUUCUCUUUUCUUAUCGUAAGUCAUGUAAGACAUAUUCAUGUGUACUGCACCCUUUCAUUCAUUCAUUCAUUCAUUCAUUCAGCAAACACUGUACUAGGAACCUGGAAAUGCUGGAGUGACAAAGGUGACUAUAAUAGCAUUCAUUUGAGUGUUUAAUGAACACAUAUUUUAGGCUCUGCCCUGGGGAUUAUAAUGUGAAGAAGACAUGUGGCAAAGUCUCUUGCAUUUUGAAAGUUGCUGCUUUUCAUGGGUGUUGGUUUUCUGUCCCCAGUUAGACUGUGUUUAGACUAUGUAAGCUAUGUUUUUAAUGUAAUUUUAAUUUUAAUUUUUAUGGGGGUGGAGGGGCAGAGGGAGGGAGAGAGAGAUGGAGAGAAUCCCAAGCAGGCUCCAUGCUCCACACUCAUUGGAGUCUGAUGUGGGGCUGGAUCUCAUGACCCAAUCCAGAAUUAAGAGUCAGACACCCAACUGACUGAGCCAACCAGGUGCCCCUAACCUAUGUUUUUUAUAUUUCAUUCCCCUGAUCAUUUUAAUAUGCCAUAUAAAUAGUUCUCAAGAAUUACUUGAUUGACUUCUUGGAUGGGGUUCUUUUGACUGCCAAGAAAAACCUCUGUUGUCAAGAAAACAUGAGGCCUGUUUGGUGAAAUCAGAACUCUGAAGUUUAUAAUCCAUAUAAUAUGUACAGGUCUCACAAGUGGUUACUUGAGGAAAGUGGUAGUGUGGCUGAUUUCUUUUUUUUUUUUCCUUUUCCAUUUGGAAGUAGAUGGGAGAGUUAUUUAGAACUAACUUCUCAUACUCCCUAUUCAUUUCUGAGUAAUGAACUUACAUAUUACAGUUUUGGACUUAGGAUGCUGACAUGUGAUUUCUGGUACUGCAUGCUUAAUCAGAACUUCGAAGAGUUUUUCUAUUUUGUUUUGUUUUUCGAAUCAGGACUGUGCCCUUCCUCGUAAAGCAGAAUUUUGUUUGUUUGUUCGAGUUGAUAGGAGUUUUUUCCAAGUGGUUUUCUUCACAUUCUGCCAUCUGAGCCUUUGUAAUAAAGGCGUUCAAAGCCCUCAUGCAAUUCUCAUAGUUUUACUUCAUGUAGAGGAGUCUACUUCAUGUAGACUAUGAUAUUUAGAUGAGAAACUCAUUAAAAUACGUAAUACAGUAACAUGAUUUUGGAGAAUGAGAGUAGUCAGGAGUAGUAAAACAGUAUCUUUUAAAACAGUUGUCUUCCUGGGGCACCUCGGUGGCUCAGUCGAUUUAAGCACCUGACUCUUGAUAUCGGCUUAGGUCAUGAUCUCACUGUUGGUGAGAUCGAGCCCCGCGUCGGGCUCUGUGCUGACGGCAUGGAGCCUGUUUGGGAUUCUCUCCGUCUCUCUCUGCCCCUUUUCUGCUCAUGCACACACUCUCUCUGUCUCUCAAAAUAAAUAAAUAAACUUAAAAAAAAAAUCAACUGUCUUCCUUGCAACAUUUAAAAUGUGACUUAAAUGUACUGGGUUUUGCCCUUACUGCUUUCAUUAUGUUACUUCCUUGCUGGGGAACAGUUGUUUUCAAACUUCAGUGUGCCAAAGAACCAACUGAGGAGUUGGUUUGUGCUGUCACUUCUCCCCAUCUCUCCCCAGUGGUUCUGAUGAGAUCUCUUCUGGACACCUGCAGGCCAGAUGGUUCGGAGGCUGUGAGCCACGACUGGACAGUGGUUUGGAAGUGUCACAGUGUUCCUUUCUAACCUCUUAUCACUCCUCCCACACAGGCCAGUUAGCCUGUCCUCAGCCUGCUGCCCGCUACCCCAUGUUCUUUAAUGGCCUCAGUGCCUUUGCCCUGUCAUUAUUACCCAAAUUGGAAAUGCAUCUCCUGUCUUUCUCUCUUUUUAUUUUACAUAUGUAUGUAUGUAUGUAUGUAUGUAUGUAUGUAUAUAUGUGUUUUUAUUAUUUUUUUAAAGACUGUAUCUUUUUUUUUAAGUUUACUUAUUUAUUUUGGGAAUGAGAGAGAGCAGGGGAGGGGCAGAGAGAGGGGGAGAGAGUCACUAGCAGGCUUCCCACUGCCAGUGCAGAGCCCCAUGUGGGGCUUGAACCUAUGAACUGUGAGAUCAUAACCUGAGCCGAAAUCCAGAGUCAGAUGCUUAACUCGACUAAGCCACCCAGGCGCUCCUCUCUCUUUUAUUUUUAAAGAUAGUAUUUUAAGUCAUGUCUACACCCAACGUGGGGUUUGAACUCACAACCCCCAGAGCAUGAGUCUCAUGGUUCACUGACUGAGCCUGCCAGGCACCCCCUCCUGUCUCCUUAGAGCUCAGCUUCUAAGCUGAGGUGGGCUUCCCGAUAAGCUGUCUCUUCUAGUUUAGUCCACCCUAAUGGUUCCUUCCUCUAAACUCCUAUGUAGAUAUGGUAGUUUUAAAAAAAUUGCCAACAUUUAGAUAUCAGGAACUACUUAUAAAAAGUAUUUUUAACUCUCAUGGUAACGACUGGUUGGAGCUGAUUUGCAACAUUUGUUACUUUACAGUUUUUAAGUUUUACUUGUCCCCUUACCUCCUUCAUUUUGGACAAGGGUCAUUUGUUGUUUACCUUCACAUUUGUGCUGCUGCCUUAUUUUCAAUGAGCUGGUUUUACUCAUAAUCUUUCCUUAUUUGGCUGUUGUGAAUAUUGAGUGUGUAAUACUUGAUUUACGGUCCGUGUUGCUCAUUAGACCAUUCCUGGAUAUUUGCCUGCCUUACUUAGUAUAUCUUUCAGGGCUCCCGUGUACAGCUUCACAGGUUGUACACUGCAUGAUAGUAUGUGCUGGCCCUGUGUCUUUUAAUGUAAAAAUAUUCUAUUUC